CUUUUGUCCUGCUCUCUCUCGAAGCUUUCAUGAAGAAGCUCUCGUCCUCCCACCCGAAGUUGUUUCUGCCGGACUAUUCGCCGCCUCUCUUCGAGUUGUCGCUGGAUCGUUCGCUGCUUCUCUUCGAUUUGAAACUCCCGGGAUUUGGUUCACAACAUUAGGGCUUCCAUUUCACACCUAUUAGGGCUUCCAUUUGUAAAAUUAGGGCUUCGAUUUGUGAGAAUAAGGGCUUAAAUUUGUGAUCUACAGCGCAACUUCUACGAAUUUGAAAGGUCCAAAAAGCUAUGUUGGUCUUGAAUUUCUGCUAUAACGUGUACUUCAUCCUAUAAAUUGUUUUGUCAUGUGAGAUUGGCUUGGUUGUUAAGCCAUGUACAUCAAUGAUUAUUUGAGCCACCAGGUGGGGGUGGAUAGAUGUGAAUAGUUGUAUAUGAUCAAAUAAUGUAAAGACUUGCACCUGUUAACAGCUUUUAUAAA